rnacentral:lncRNA from 9 species
UCCCAUUGCGACUCAGGGGUUGAGAACUUAGCACAUUGUCCAUGAGGAUGUGGGUUCAAUCCUAGGCCUCGCUCCAUGGGUUAAGGAUCUGGCAUUGCAGUGAGCUGUGGUAUAGGUUGUAUAUGUGGCUCUGAUUUGACUCCUAGCCUGGGAACCUCCAUAUGCCAUGGGAGUGGCCCUAAAAGGCAAAAAACAAACAAACAAACAAACAAAAAACACCCAACAGAAACACUGCACUCUGCUUCUACUUGCUAUGUGAUGCUGCGUAAGCCUCUCCUUUCUCAGGCUCCAGGGGAUGGAAGAGCCUGCCUCCUUGGGGACGUUAGAAUAUUGAGUGAGGAAGGUGAGAUAUUUCCCUUUCUUUCUUUCUUUCUUUCUUUCUUUCUUUCUUUCUUUCUUUCUUUCUUCCUUCCUUCCUUCCUUCCUUCCUUCCUUCCUUCCUUCCUUCCCUCCCUCCCUCCCUCCCUCCUUCCUUCCUUUUUUCCUUUUCUUUUUAGGGCCACACCUGCAGCAUACAGAGGUUCCCAGGCUCGGGGUCGAAUCGGAGCUGUAGCUGCUGGCCUACACCACAGCCACAGCAACACAGGAUCCGAGUCACGUCUGUGACCUACACCCAGCUCAUGGCAAUGCCUGAUCCUUAACCCACUGAGCGAGGCCAGGGAUUGAACCUGCAUCCUCAUGGAUACUAGUCAGAUUCAUUAACCCCUGAGCCACGAUGAGAACUCUGCGAGAAGCUUUUUGAGGUCAGCAGGCUGGCCAGACCCGGAAAGGCCUUGGAGUCCAGGUGUAGGGAAGGAAGUUUUCCAUCAAUAGGAGAAAAAGGUAGGGGCGGGUUUUAAGGCACCCCUAAAAGAGCUGGGCUCAGAGCUGCCCCCAAAAGAUUAUAGACACCUCCAGCAACUGAGAUUAUCUAAGAUUUAUCCACUUGCCGUAGAGACAUGGAAAAUGAAGCUUGGGAGCGCCCAGGCCAAGGCAACCAAGUCAAAUCCAGAGUUCCCUAGAGAGGAUGCCAAAUAACACGGACAGAUGUGGGGGACUCAAAACCAGGUUGAGGCUUUUCAGUGUACCGCACCCCCAUCAUCCCUUUCACUUCAUUAGAGCAAGCAUACUUUCAGCACCUCCUAUGUGCAACACCCAGAGGAAGGCACUGUAAAUCGAAGAUAAA